UCUUAAAAUCAUUGAUACAAUGGUUCUUGAGAUAACGUAAGGGAUAAAAAUGAUAGUACCUUACUAUAAGUGUUGUCCAACUAUACUGGUGCCAGAAGACUCGGUAACGCCAGAAACGCAAACGUUAGUCGUCUUAAUCAGGCGUAAAGGGUAAGUAGGCUGCUUUGAAAGUUGUUAAUUAAAAAGCUCUUUUUUAAAGUAAUUAAUAAUGAAUUAAAGCUAGAAUCAAAUAGGGGAUAAGCCAAAUAAUAUUUAGUGUAAGGCUAAUAUCUUUAGAUACUAAAUGGAAUACUAAGGUUAAAACUUUUAUCUAUUAAUGAUUGACGCUGAGGAACGAAGGUGAGAAUAGAAAACAGGAUUAGAGACCCAGGUAUCUCUCACUGUCAACGAUGAAUGGUAGUUGUUAGUUAAACUU
rnacentral:rRNA from 1 species